rnacentral:rRNA from 1 species
UACGGUAGGGCGCAAGCGUUGUCCGGAAUUAUUGGGCGUAAAGAGCUCGUAGGCGGCUUGUCACGUCGGGUGUGAAAGCCCGGGCUUAACCCCGGGUCUGCAUUCGAUACGGGCUAGCUAGAGUGUGGUAGGGGAGAUCGGAAUUCCUGGUGUAGCGGUGAAAUGCGCAGAUAUCAGGAGGAACACCGAUUGCGAAGGCAGCCCGCUGGACGUUACUGACGCUGAGACGCGAAAGCGUGGGGAGCAAACAGG